UUAAAGUUUUAUUUUGGCUUGGAAAUUUAUUUUCAACUUAAUUUAUAUGUAAAUUUUUGUGAGGAUUUGCGUUAAUUUUAAUGAUUAAUGUAAUUUUUGAUAUUCGCAGUAAUUAGUAUUGCUAUUUAAGGGGACUUAGAAGUAGUAAUGUUGUGUAGUAUUGGCUAAUUUUGUGCCAGCAGCCGCGGUUAUACGAACGAUGCAAAUAAAUUAUAUUGGUUUGAGUUAGAUUGAGCGAAUGAAAAUUAAAUUAAGUUUGUUAGGUGAAAUUUUAAAUUUAUGCAAUUUUUGUGUUGAUUGAUUGAAGCUUGAAAAUUUUAAGUGUAAACUAGGAUUAGAUACCCUAUUAUUUAAAACGUAGUUUAUUAAGCUUAGGUAGUAGUAGAUAUGUUCUUGAAACUUAAAAAAUUUGGCGGUAUUUUAGUCUAUUCAGAGGAACCUGUCCUGUAAUCGAUAAUCCACGUUGGACCUUACUUAAGUUUGUUAAACAGUUUAUAUACCGUCGUUAUGAGAAAAUUUUAUGAGAAUGAUCAUUUUCGGGAGUUUUUAUUAGAAAAUAUAUCAGAUCAAGGUGUAGCUUAUAUUUAAGUAGAGAUGGGUUACAAUAAAUUUAUUUAAAUGGAUUUAUGAGUUGAAAUUUUUUAUUGAAGGUGGAUUUGGUAGUAAAGUUAUAUAGGUAAAUAAUUUGACUUUAGCUCUAAAAUAUGCACACAUCGCCCGUCGCUCUUAUUAUUAAGAUAAGAUAAGUCGUAACAUAGUAGAUGUACUGGAAAGUGUAUCUAGAAUG
rnacentral:ncRNA from 2 species